rnacentral:rRNA from 1 species
CGUGUAGGCGGUUGGUCAAGUCGGGUGUGAAAGCCUGGGGCUCAGCUCCAGAAGUGCAUCCGAUACUAGCCAGCUAGAGCGCGAUAGAGGAGGGUGGAAAUUCCUGGUGUAGCGGUGAAAUGCGUAGAUAUCAGGAGGAACACCGGCGGCGAAGGCGGCCCUCUGGAUCGUUGCUGACGCUGAGACGCGAAAGCGUGGGGAGCAAACAGGAUUAGAUACCCUGGUAGUCCACGCCCUUAAACGAUGGGUACUAGGUGUUCGGGGUGUUGACCCCCUGAGUGCCGCAGUUAACGCAUUAAGUACCCCGCCUGGGGACUACGGCCGCAAGGCUAAA